rnacentral:rRNA from 1 species
AGCGAACGCUGGCGGCAGGCCUAACACAUGCAAGUCGAACGAACUCUUCGGAGUUAGUGGCGGUUGGGGGAGGCACACGUCGGAACGUGCCUUUUGAUACGGAAUAACUCUGUGAAACUUGUGCUAAUACCGAAUGUGUCCUUCGGGUGCAAGAUUUAUCGUCAUUGGAGCGGCCCGUGUCUGUUUAGCCUGUGGGUGAGGUAAGGGCCCACCAAGGCGACGCUCAGUAGCGGGUCUGAGAGGAUGACCAGCGACACUGGGGCUGGGACACGGCCCAGAAUCCUACGGGAGGCGGGAGUGGGGGAUCUUGCGCUAUCGGCUGAAUCCUGACGGCGCCCUGCCGCGUGAAUGAUGAAGGUCUGAGGAUUGUACAAUUCUUUAACCGGGGACGAUAAUGACGGUACCCGGAGAAGAAGCCCCGGCUAACUUCGUG